ensembl:lncRNA
GGAAGAUCCCCUAGAGAAAGGAAUGGCAACAUUCCAGUAUUCUUGCCUGGAAAAUUCCAGAGGAGCCUGGUGGGCUACACUCCAUGGGAUUGCAAAGAGAGAAAUGCAAAUCAAGACUACAAUGAGUUUUCUGGCCAGGUGAAAUGUGGGAUCUUUGACUCCAUGACCAAGGACUGAACCUACACCUCCUGUGUUGAAAGGCGACAUUUUAACCAUCGAACCAGAAGGGAAGUCCCGCAAGUUUCAUAUAUAUAUAUUUCAAUGGAUAGACACAAGGCCUCUCUUUCUAGAAAUGACUUCUCUCCAGAAAUAUGAGAUUAUCUUUACCUCUUACUUUCCUAUCAUAGAUGUCUGAAGGUCGUGGAGUAGAGAUUACUGGACUUGAGUCAAAAAACUGAG